ensembl:miRNA
AAGACUCAAAAGUGGACAAUAAUUUCCAUAUAUUUUUUGUCCACUUUUGAGCAGA